ACAUCGCCUCUUGCCACUAAUAAGAGGUCUAGCCUGCCCAGUGACAAAGUUCAACGGCCGCGGUACCCUAACCGCGCGAAGGUAGCAUAAUCACUUGUUCCUUAAAUAGGGACUUGUAUCAAUGGCAUCACGAGGGUCGCACUGUCUCCCUUUUCUAAUCAGUGAAACUGAUCCCCCCGUGAAAAAGCGGGGAUAAAUAUAUAAGACGAGAAGACCCCAUGGAGCUUUAAACCUACAGCAACUCAACUAUAAACUUCCACAUAAAUUCAGAAAAAUGCUUGUUGGUUUUAGGUUGGGGUGACCACGGAGUAAAAAAUAACCUCCAUAGCGCAUAAGCCUAAACUUUCAUUUAAGAACCACAACUCUAGAAACUAGAACACUAACGCGUACUGAUCCGACGAUCGAUUAAUGGACCAAGUUACCCUGGGGAUAACAGCGCAAUCUAUUUCAAGAGUCCAUAUCGACAAAUAGGCUUACGACCUCGAUGUUGGAUCAGGGUAUCCCAGUGGUGCAGCCGCUACUAACGGUUCGUUUGUUCAACGAUUAAAACCCUACGUGAUU
rnacentral:rRNA from 1 species